UACAGGGGGUGCAAACGUUGCUCGGAAUCAUUGGGCGUAAAGCGCACGUAGGCGGUUCGUUAUGUCGGAUGUGAAAGCCCUUGGCUUAACCGAGGAAGUGCAUCCGAAACUGGCGAGCUAGAGUACUAAAGAGGAUCGCGGAAUUCCCGGUGUAGAGGUAAAAAUUCGUAGAUAUCGGGAGGAACACCGGUGGCGAAGGCGGCGAUCUGGGUAGAUACUGACGCUGAGGUGCGAAAGCGUGGGGAGCAAACAGG
rnacentral:rRNA from 1 species